UUCUGUUUGCUUUUGAGUGUCACCGAUC
rnacentral:piRNA from 1 species